rnacentral:lncRNA from 1 species
UCUUCAAUUGGUACUACUGCACCUUCACCUUUGCGAUGAUGAUAUCUUUGACAGUCAUUGUUUACGUGCAAUCGGAUGUGAGCUGGGCCUGGGGAUUGGGAAUCCCUGCAUUUAUGAUGUUCUUAUCCUGUGCAAUGUUCUUCCUGGGAUCUAGACUCUAUGUGAAAGUAAAACCAGAUGGCAGUCCAUUGGCUAGUACGGUGCAGGUCUUUGUGGCCGCAAUCAAGAAGAGGCACUUGAAGUUACCAGAGGAACCGUGGCUCACCCUUCAUAACCAUAUUCCAAAAAAUUGUAUAAACUCCAAACUUCCUCGUACUGGACAAUUCAGGUAAAAAAGAUUCAAAAUAUUCUAGCUAUUCGAUUAAAGAAAAAAUUUGUUUACUAACGAACCAAAGUGACAAUAUUGGUUCAGGUGCCUGGACAAAGCGGCAAUCAUGACCCCUGAAGACCAAAUAAAGUCGGAUGGAUCAGCAAUCAAUCCCUGGAGACUAAGCAGUAUGCAAAAAGUUGAGGAGGUAAAAGUCCUAAUUCGAGUGAUUCCUAUAUGGGCCUCAGCUAUUGUGUACUAUGUCGCUUUAGUUCAACAACAGACCUACGCAGUCUUCCAAGCUCUUCAAUCCGACAGACGCGUGGGCAAUACCCAUUUCAAAAUCCCAGCUGCAUCUUACGCCAUCUUCUCAAUGCUUGGCCUCACAAUUUGGAUUCCUAUCUAUGACAGAAUCAUCGUUCCGAGGCUCCAACGAUUGACGAAAAAAGAAGGCGGCAUAACAAUUCUUCAGAGAAUGGCCAUCGGCAUGAUUCUUGCUAUUUUCACUAUGAUUAUUUCUGGCAUUAUUGAAGAUAAGCGAAGAUCUUUGGCCCUUUCCAGGCCUGUGGGUUUAGAGCAAAGAAGAGGUGCAAUAUCUUCUUUGUCAGGACUUUGGCUAAUACCUCAGCUGUCACUGAUAGGAUUUUCUGAGGCAUUUACAAUUAUUGCUGAAGUUGAAUUCUACUACAAGCAAUUUCCCGAAAACAUGAGAAGCAUUGGCGGAUCUUUGGCGUUUGUUGGGUUUGCAAUAUCAAAUUAUUUGAAUGGUUUCUUGAUAUCAAUGGUUCAUAGAUUUACAAAGGGUGCUUCCACUGGAGAUUGGUUGCCUGAAGAUCUUAACAAGGGGAGAUUAGAUUACUUCUAUUACUUAGUUGCUGCAUUAGGGCUCUUAAAUUUCGGCUUCUUUUUAUUGUGUGCAAAAUGGUACAAGUAUAAAGGGAGUGGUGACGGCGCCCCGGAAGUGGCCAUGGAAAAGCUGAAUCCUGAAAAAUCUCCAGUAUGAAACAGAAAAUAAUGCUAUAUCAUAUAAAAGCUGAAAAGUUAUACAACAGAAUAACAAAUAUAAUUAUAGGAUUCAACAACUAUAUAAUGUUAUUGUAUUAGAAAAAGGUUUUAUUUUAUGAAAAGCUUGUGCUGCCCAUUUCUCUGUGUAAAUUAUAAUUAAACACUGUCCGGAAUCCGGAUAGUGUGUUUGAGAAAAUGUUGGACCCAAAAAAGCUUUUGACUUUAAAAGAAUAUUUAAGCUUGCACAAUUAACAUCAUAUGAACACGUGGAUAACAGACAAAAGAUCGAGGGAAAAUUUAUAAAAAUAACCAUAAAACUUUUGUUAUUUUCAUAAUUAACCCUUUCAACUUUUUUCUAUCAACAUUAGCUAAAUACACACUUUUCUCCCCAAAUUAUCCUUCUUUACAAACCAAAAACAACUUUCUUUCUCCCCUUUCGUCAAACCAAAGGCAGUGUCACACUCUUGAAUCAUCAACCAAUGGCAACGGCAACGGCAAAAGGCAACGAUAAAAAGUGAAAUCCGAUCAUAAUUUAUCCGGAUCCAACACUAAUCGACAUCACAUAGUGGUAUGAGUUAUUUUCUGAACUUGCUCCAGAGUUUGACUGAACUGCGAAUGGUUUCGUGGGUGAAUCUGGCAACAGGCUCCCUGUCGCACCAAACUUGGUUCGACAGGCUCCCAGAGGUUGCCAGUAGAUUUUGGGGUUGUUUCUUCUGGAGUUGUUUGCAAUGGGAUAUUUUAUGUCUAUUCUGAGACUGACAAACUGGCAGGAUAUGACAUAGAAAGAGGCUUCUGGAUUGGAAUCCAAACCUCUCCAUUUCCUCCCCGUGUUAUUGAGUACUACCCAAAACUUGUAUCCUGUAGUGGUCGUCUAUUCAUGCUUUCUGUCUCCUGGUGUGAAGGGGAUGGUCAAAUAGGCUGUAGAAACAAGGCAGUGAGAAAAUUAUGGGAGCUAGAUCUCAUGUACCUCACCUGGACUGAGGUCUCUGUACAUCCUGAUGCUCCAAUGGACUGGAAUGCUGCAUUUGUUGCGGACAGAAACCAUAUAUUUGGUGUCGAAAUGUUUAAGAUAUUUGGUCAGGUGCUGGACUUCUUGACUGUAUGUGACGUGUCGGAAAAGAGGAUGAACUGGAGCCAUAUCUCAAGAAAUCACAUGGCUUAUGAACUGGAUGCUACUUCAUGCAUGACUAAAUCAUUGGCUGUUUUACAUCUGUAAUCUUGUUGGCGUAUGUGCUGAUUCAUGCUGGAAAUUUUAGGCUUGAACCUGCAAAUUUCAUUUCAAAUUCUUUGGGUACAGUUGAUUUGAACCUUUGCGCCUGCCUCUAGUUUCUGUAUCUUAUCCUGGCUCAUUUAAGAGGCAUGUUUCACAUGUAGCCAUUUAUGUACUCUCUUUGCCACUGUUUAUAAAUUAUUCAUGUUUUUCAAUCUUGUUUGUGUUGUCUUGACAAGGUGUAAAAGAGCUUAUUGUUUAUGUUAAAUUGAUAAUGUGAUAUCUGUUCUUCUCGUUGAACUUCCUGGCUCUUGUUUCUUUCGAUUGGAAGACAUACAGAGAAGUUUUAAAACUUCGCAGUCACACUUGAAUGCUUUUGGCUAUUUUAAAAGUUGCCUUGCUGACCUAGAUUAAGCAAUACAUUCGAACUGGUGAUAACCGUGCAAUACUCAUAAUUAAGAUUUUGAAUCACGUACUAUGAACGUUUAAGCUAAUGAAAUGAGAGUGAAGAGAGAUCUCUUAAAAAGUCAUGAAGAUUAAAGGAAAAUCAAAUAGGUACGAGGCCCCCACAAUUGCAGCAAGGUAAAAAUGUAAAAAGCAGCAACCAUAUUAGCACAGAAGAGGGAGUGUUGGGGGAGAGAUGAGGGAGAGGGGUAUUUUGGUCCGUAAUUUUGAUAAAUUAAUAUAUAAGACAUAUUAUUAAUUACUAGUCAAUCUCAUGUCAUACCAAAUAUAAGACAUGAUUAUUUAUAGUCCAAUCCAACAUUGCACCAAACAUAAUUUAGUAUUAUAUAUAAUCCAGUGUUAUCCAAUACAAUCAUAUCUUAUCCAAUCCGAUCCGAUCCAAUCCAAUCCAACAUAUUAAAUGAGCCCUUAAAGACUAAACUGUAUUGGAAUGUAUAUCCUUUUAAUUUUUAAAUUUAUUUCUUACUUUCAAUAAAAUAAAAGAUCACCUAUUAAAAAGAAUAUUCUUUAAAAAUUCUCUCGAUAUUAUUUUUAAGCAUAAAUAAUAUUUUGGAUAAAUGUUUAUUCAAUCAUUAUAUUUUGAGUUAAGUGUCCGUUUAAUUCCUAUAUUAAAAAAAAAUCUCAAGACACCCAUGUUUUUAAAUAUGUUACACUCAUACCCUUACUUUUUUUUUCUUUUUAUAAUAACACAUUUUCAACAAUAUUCUUAGAGAUAUUAAUGAAAAAAAGAUAAUUUAUCAAAUUAACCUUAAAAGUAAUAUAAAAAUUUACACAAACGUUUAUAUUAUUAUUUUACUUUUAAUAUUAGUUUGGUUAAUUAAUUUUUUUUGUAAAAAAAAUAUUAAUAUGAUUGUUGUAAGUAUAUUAAAUAUUGCUUUAGGUUGGCUUAUAUUAAUUUAUUUAUAAAUAAUUAAUAGUAAGAUUAUUACACAGGAACAAAAAAAUUAAUUUUUACACGGAUAUUUAUUAGUUAAUUUACUAAUAAAUAAUUAUUGAGUAAUUUACUAAUUAAAUUUUUUAUAGAUAAAUUAAUUAACAUCAAUAAUAUUAGUGAAAGGAUAUUAUUAUAAUAGGAAAGAAAAAGAAGGGUAAAAAUAAAAUAUAUUUAAUUGUAAGAAUAUUUUAAAAUAUUUUUUAAAUAUAAAAAAAUAAAAAAAUAAAAAAAUACUUAAAUUAAAAUAUAAAAAUUAAAGCAAUAUUUACUGAUGAUAUUUUUCAAGCUACUAUUACUUCAACGACGACAAAAUGAUGGAUAUAAAAUGACAAAGGACUAGUGCUAUCUGGCUAGUAUCUGCGCAUGCCGCGUGAGAAAAGCCCAGAAAGUAAUAAUGCCAGACCUGAACGCGUCAAUUUCUCUGAACUGGAUGUUUAGAAAUUUGUGGAAAAAUACAGAGCUUGUUUUAAAUGGGCACGUGCAUCGACAUCAAACAUUGAAAAGAGCUCCAAAAAUAAACAACGAAUCCCCGAGCAAUUAAUGUAAUUAUUGGACUUAUAUGAUAUCAUAAACAAGAGUAGAUAUUGCGUUCCACAUUUACCACUGAUUGAGAAGGAGGUGGCAUAGAAUUUUGCGGGUUUUAGCUUUUUUUUUUUUUUUCCCUGUUUACUUUUUCCUUUCUCUGAUUAUAGAUCAAUUUCUUAUUCAACUUCCCGACUCACUUUCUUGCUUUUGUUUAAACUGAGUCAAGCGAGUAGUAGGGCAUGAUGAGUUAAGGGAGUAUCUGUUGUUGGGACUAAAUUAGUGAGUGGUGAAUCAAGCGGAUGUUAAUUGGGUAGAGUCAAUGAUACGAUAAUAAAAGUAUUUUUGGGUCUUAAGGCCUAAUAUAUUGGUUCAAUUUUGGGCACUUGUUUCAGCUUUGACUGAAGUAUUUAGCGGGUGGUCCCAAUGAGAUGGUGGACGACAGAAGUGUUCGAGUCAGAAAAUACUUGAGUAAAAUGUGAGCAAUGGUGUGAGGAAGGGUACAAAGUUCAUCCUGUAGCUCUAGCAGCUUUCUACAUAUAACCCCAUUGACAAGGCAUACGUACUGUUUAAUAAUUACUGGUUAUAACGCACCAAUCCAGAAUGAAAGCAGCAGAGAAAGAAACGGUGGAGAAGAAAGAGAAUGGAGCCUUAGAGUUGGAGAAGAUUUAUGAGAAUAGAACCAUGGAAUUGGAGAAUGUUAAGAAAACUGUGGGAAACGAUCAUGAUGAGCCCAAGAUUAACUACAGAGGAUGGAAAGCUAUGCCCUUCAUUAUAGGUGAGCUGGAGUGGGCUGCUUCCUUCCUUCCUUUCUUCAUGUUUCUUUUUUCUUUUGUUGUUGUGUUGUCUUUUUUUUUUCCCAAUUAUUGUUGUUUUUACUGUUGAGUAACAAAUUUCAGGUAAUGAGACUUUUGAGAAGCUGGGAGCCGUUGGCACUUUAGCCAACCUGUUGAUCUAUCUUACUUCUGUGUUCAACAUGAAAAACAUUACAGCUGCAACAAUUAUCAACAUCUUUAAUGGCACCGCAAACUUUGGCACCAUGAUUGGAGCUUAUCUUUGUGACACCUACUUUGGUCGCUACAACACAUUGGGAUUUGCUACGGUUGCUUCGUUUUUGGUACUAGCUUCUGCUCUUGAGCAGCGAGUUUCGGCUAUUACCAUUUCUAGCUGAGCUAAGAUAUAUUAUUCUACUAACUGAUCCGAAAAUGAUACGGACUUCGAAUAAAAACCUAUAACAAUUUGAAUUCUGUCAACCAUAUGGUAUAUUACAUAUUUAGUUGAUAUUCAUGUGAAUCUAAUUCUUAUUUUUUGGUGAAGGGGUUGCAAGCAAUACAACUAACGGCGGCAAUUCCAAAUCUUCAUCCUCCCAACUGUGCAGCAGAAAGUUCAACGUGCAAAGGGCCAACAGCAGGACAAAUGGCAUUUCUGUUGAGCGGGUUUGGACUGAUGAUAAUAGGAGCUGGCGGCGUCCGGCCAUGUAACUUGGCAUUUGGAGCAGACCAAUUCAAUCCUAAUACUGAAUCUGGAAAAAGGGGUAUUAAUAGCUUCUUCAACUGGUACUUCUGCACCUUCACUUUUGCCCAGAUGGUGUCUUUGACCCUCAUUGUCUAUGUGCAAUCCAACGUGAGUUGGGCUAUUGGUUUAGCAAUUCCGGCGUUGCUGAUGUUGAUAGCGUGUGUCGUCUUCUUCAUGGGCACAAAAAUAUAUGUUAGGGUGCCAGCCACUGGCAGUCCAAUGACCAGUGUGGCACAGGUCCUAGUGGUUGCUGUCAAGAAAAGGCAGCUAAAGCAACCAGACCAACCUUUACUUUCUCUGUUUAACUAUAUUCCUCCAGGUUCUAUCAACUGCAAGCUCCGUCAUACAGAUCAAUUCAGGUAAUUAACAUCUAGCAUUGUGCUUCUCGAUUGUCUCGCUCUCACUAUAGAUGUGAGUCAUCGGAGCUAAGUUAACAACUUAUUAAUUUGUUAUCAGAUUUUUAGACAAAGCAGCGAUGCUGACACCCGAGGACCACAUAAAUCCAGAUGGAUCAGCGGCAAAUCGCUGGAGACUUUGCAGUGUCCAGCAAGUGGAAGAAGUGAAAUGCGUUUUGAGACUGCUGUACGGCCAAGGCGGAUGUACGGUACAGCAGAGUAUCGUAAGAGGUGAUUGAAUAAUUUUUUUAAAAAUCCAUAGACUGAUUAUUUAGCUUAAUAACAAUCCAAUCCUCUAAUCAUCCAUAUGAGAGUGGUUUCACAAUUUGUGGUUUACUUAAAAUUAUAACGAUUAAAGGAACAUUUAGGUGGCGUUUGUUUUUUAACUUAAUGACUUAAAGUGACUUAACUUAAUUAAUUAAGUUAAUUAGAGGUGUUUGUUUUUAUAACUUAAUGAGACUUUUUAGAUAAUUUUGACUUAAUAAAAUAAGCUAAUUUUUUUGGCUUUUUACUUAAUUCAAGUUAUUUGAGCAGUUUAUUGAUAACUAUUGUUCACCAAACCACACAAGGAGCAGCAACUGGAAAUUGGUUACCAGAAGAUCUGAACAAGGGAAGACUGGAUUACUACUAUUACAUGAUUGCUGGCUUGGAGGUUUUGAAUUUAGGAUACUUUUUAGUAUACGCUAGGUGGUACGAGUACAAAGAGACAGGCACAGGCUCAGCUACUACCAUUGAGUUUGAAGCGAAUGGUGAGGUGAAGCAAUCUGAUAAAACUUUAGUUUAAUGAUGACUAUAUUCAUGUUAGGCUAUGAUAAAACUGCGGGACUGUUUAGUUCAGCUUCAGCACUAGGCUAAGGGGAGAGUCAUUUUCUCGGUAGUGAUUAAUGAUUCCUUAUCCUAGCUUAUUUAGCAGAAGAUUUUAAUUGAAUUAGAUAGAUGCAGACCCGAAUGAUGAAAUAAUGAUGAAAUUUAACAUACUCUUACUUCUGUUGAAAGUUCUUUCAAUACUCCCUGGGAUGAUUCCUGCCUUGCGUAUACCGCAACGUCAAACCAUUAUGGAAUUUGAAAGAGAUUGCUUCAAAUUUUUAAGUAAAAAUUAAAAUAAUCUUAACCCUUCUAUAUAAUCUCUCAACUUAUGAACUAACAAUUCAUAUCAAGAAAACAACUUUAAGCAAUGUAUAGGAGCAGAGAGUGCAGCACCAAAUAUAUCUAGAGUUUCUAACCGCUUGUUGCCCAAAAUAUUACAACCGAAGCAUUUGCCUAUCAACUAUCAAGAGUUUGUCCUUAGUACAGUUGAUUUAAAGAACGGCGAACCUUAGACCUUACUGAUAUACGCAUCAAAUGCCACGACAGAAAUAAGUACAUACUGUGGGCAUUUUGUGGCGAAAGUUAAGAGCAGAGAUGAAAACAGAAAGAUAAAUACUCACCACAGCACUCUGACGUGCUGGAAAGGAAAAUAUACUAGCACAAAAUAACACUCUUGUUUGGCGGGUAACUUGCAACAACAUGCUGAUUACAUAUCUUCACAGCACCAGGAAAUGUUUCUUAAUAGAUAACGAUUACGUCAAUAGGUGAUCUCUUAGACCGUGUAAGCUUGCUGAAUCGUGUCUAUGUCAAGGCCUUUCAAUCUCACAUCACAUGCAUCAGCAUCAAACAUUGAAAAGAGCUCCAAAAUUAAACAAGGAAUCCGCGAGCAAUUAAUGUAAUUAUUGGAUUUAUAUGAUAUCAUAAACAAGGAGAAAUUCUACAAUACAUAUGAUAUUCAAUGUCAUCUGAUGACGUAGAAUCACUAACCAAUAACUUUUUUACGUGUGUCAGUUAAUUUUUUUAUGGACACAUGUUUGUCCAUAAAAAAACAAUGAAUCAUACAAUUACAAAAAAAUAUCCAGCAUCAAUAUCUUAACUUGUUUUACAGUACAUUAAACAAACAUGUGGUGGGCAAAAGAAAAAUUUAGUGAAUGGUUCUUAGCUCCUUUUGCAAAUGUUUGAAAUAUGACAACCCCCAACCUUAAUUCACUUUGCAGAUAUAAAAAUAAUCUUGUUUUGAUACUCCUUUUGCUUCCCAUUCACAAAUCCAUUCCCGUAGAAAAUCCUGCCACUAGCUUAAUUAGAAAAUUUGUUGCAUUUUUUUUUUUUUUUUCAGCAGGUCCAGGUAAUUUUUUUUUAAUUAGAAAAUUUGUUGCAUUUUUUUUUUUUUUUUUGUUGCAGGGGAAUGGAGUUGUAAAUGGGAAGGAGUAUGAAACCAGACUCUUUGUAGCCAUUUUAUUCAAUUUAUUAUUUUUAUAACUUUUAGUAAAUUAAUGUUUCUUGGAAUUUGGAAGAGAGAAGAAGAAUUUUUUAAACUAGAGCAAAGAAAGAGAAAUGGAAGGAAUUGUUUGACUUUUAAUUAUUAAAAAUUAAUUGACACAUAUAAAAAUGUUAUUGGCUAGUAAUUCUACAUCAUCAAAUGACACGGAAUACCAGAUGUAUUGUAGGAUUUCUCUAUAAACAUAAGUAGAUAUUGGGUUCCGCAUUUACCACUGAUUGAGAAGGAGGUGGCAUAGAAUUUUGCGCGUUUUAGCUUUUUUUUUUUCUGCUUACUUUUUCCUUUCUCUGAUUAUACAUCAAAUAUUUUGUUUCCUGAUAAGUUUCAACCAAUCAAUGAAGAUUAUAUGAUUGGAGUGGAGUUGAGGUCAGGAAUGACGUGUUGGUCCAAUAACGGAAAAGGUGAGUUGAGCUGGGGCACUACCUGAUUUUGGGUCCUUAUCUAACUAGUAUCAUUUCGUCAUUUACACAUUAAAUUUGAUAUUUGUAUUGUCAAGGCUUAUUUUAUAUAUUACUUAUGAUUGGACCCCUACUUGUCAGUAGCCAAGGUUUGAAGAUCAAUUUCUUAUUCAAUUUCCCGACUCACUUUCUUGCUUUUGUUUAAACUGCGUCAAGCGAAUAGUAGGGCAUGAUGAGUCAAGGGAGUGUCUGUUGGGACUCAAUUAGUGAGUGGUGAUUCUGGUGAAUCAAGCGGAUAUUAAUUGGGUAGCGUCGAUGAUACGAUAAUGAAAGUAUUUUUGGGCCUUAAGUUUAAUAUAUUGGUCCAAUUUUGGACUCUUGUUUAAGCUUUGACUAAGAUUGUGGAUGACAGAAGUGUUCGAGUCAGAAAAUACUUGAGUAAAAUGUGAGCAAUGGUGUUAGGAAGGAUACAAAGCUCAUCCUGUAGCUCUAGCUGCUUUCUACAUAUAACCCCAUUGACAAAGCACACGUACUGUUUAAUAAUUACUGGUUACAAAGCACCAAUUCAGAAUGAAAGCAGCAGAGAAAGAAACGGAGGAGAAGAAAGAGAAUGGAACCUUAGAGUUGGAGAAGAUUUAUGAGAAUAGAACCAUGGAAUUGGAGAAGGUUAAGAAAACUGUGGGAAAUGAUCAUGAUGAGCCCAAGAUUCACUACCGAGGAUGGAAAGCUAUGCCCUUCAUCAUAGGUGAGCUGGAGUGGGCUGAUUGCUUGCUUCCUUCAUGUUUCUUUAUUUUUACAACCUACUAAAUAAAUGAAACAUAAAUAAAAUAUCUAAAGUAAGUAAGUAUAACAUUAUUCUAUUCUAAUAUAUAUUAGCCGGGCAAAUAUAUAUCUCCAAAGUGUGUGUACAAAAGUCUUAUUUUAAGUAACAUAAAUUUCCUAAUUAUGUUCAAUAGACCUCUAAAAAUGCUUAAAAUGUAUGAAUUUAUACUCUCAUGAGACUCACAUUGCAAUAUAUUCUUAGAAUUAUAACUUCAGUAAAUAAAUAAACAAGUAGAGAAUUAAAAAAAGCUUAUUAAAAUUUUAAUAUAAAAAAGCUAAAAUAUAGGGCUCGCUUGAUUAGAGUUAAAAAUUAUGGGAUUGAAUAAUUUCAAUGUAAAAUAAUCUUUAUCUCACGUUUUAUUUAUACAUAAAAGUAGAUGUAGAAUAAAAAAUUAUGGGUCCAUCUUUUAAUCCUAAAUAGUGAAAAAAAAUUCAAUCCCAAAGCCCGGGGACCCCCUGGGUUUGUGUUUUUUAAAUUAAAAAUUUAUCCCACAACCACUCACAGGAUUAAGUGAUAAAAAUCCCAAGUUUCUGUCUAUUGUUAUGAACUCUUUGCCAAAAUCAAUUGCAGAAUAUUAUAACUUCAUUGUUAUGAGUUGCUGGACUAAUGUUCAUACUAUUUUAUCAUUUUAAUGAGUGUGACAAAAGAAAAUGCAAAAAAAUAAAAAUAAAAACACACACACACAAACAACGAGCAAUUUUUUCUUUCUUCAGCGUUUGGUGCAAUAACUAAUUUAAGAUAAAUAAAAAAGAAUUAAUUUAAGAUAAUUUUGAGAAAAUUAAUGUAAUUAGCUACUAGCCAAUCCCAUAACAUAUCAAAUACAAGACAAAAUUAUUAUUAAAAUUUGAUAAACACAAUAUUUUAUAAAUAAUCUGCAUACUAAAUAGGUCCGUAUAAUAACAUUAUAAAAAUAGUAGGAAAGAAAUAGUAAAAAAUCCAAAUAAUAUAUAUAUAACAAAUUAUAUAUUAAAUAAUAAUUUUGAUUGCGGACCUACAAAUUAGAGUACGAAUUGAGUUUCUCUUACACUCAAUACGAAACAAAUUAAUCAAGUCGGCUGCGCAGGAUUUGCUAUUGCUCAGGUUAAAAUCAUUUGCCGGCAAAUAUUAUAUAUAUAACAAAUUGUACGCGAAAGCAACGGGUUCAACAGUCCUGCAUCUUUUGUUGUGGUUCAUAACAAAACAAAAUUAAUUCCGUGAGACCCUUUGCUUGCUUUAAUCAGUAAUUCAUAACCUUUAAAAACGAUAAGAAUAGUGAUGGUAAUUUCAGACGUCACUGGCAUGCCCCGUUUGCCAAAGCGCACAGUUUUUGCCUAAAACUCCUGAAUAGAUGGCAAAAUCAUGCCAUCUUAAAUGGGAUGAAUUUUUAACGAAUGGUGCGGAGAAUGAAAAAUAAAAUAAUAUUAAAUUUUUUACACUCAUUAAAAAGAUUUAAAAGAUGAGAGUUUUUGUCAGUUGAUUUUGCUGAUCGGAGCUGUGUGUACAUGUAUAUGUAUAUAUUAGUUAUUAUUUAUUUUAUUUUUAUUUUAUUUUUUUUUAUAUUAUUUCAAUAUGUUGUUUUUUAUUAUAUUAAUGAUGGUCGAAAAAUCUAAUAUAAAAUAGAUAAAUGGGAGAAUGGGUAGACACGAGUAAGUUGAUUUUCCAUCUCUACCUCCAUUAUAUUUAUUGAAGAAUAAGCCAAAUUUUUAAUCGGAUGAUGAAUGGAGAUGGUCUCUCCACCUCUACCCUGUCUUGUCGUUAUUAUUCCUACAAUAUUCCUACAAUAGUCAAGUGGCCAUAGAGAGAAUAGAUAAAUACAAGUUUCAUUAUAUAAUUCUAAUUUAAACUAUUAAUAUGAAGAGGAAAAAAACAAUUGAUACGUCGCAAACGUUGAAAUCAUCACAAAAAGACACCGAGGUAUCUUCAAAUUGUUAAUUAGUUUCAAAAUCCGUUAUUGAGAAGAGAUAUUGACCCCGUUUCAUACUUGUGAGUUACGUAUAACCCCAUUGACAAGCAUACGUACUGUUUAAUAAUUACUGGUUAUAACGCACCAAUUCAGAAUGAAAGCAGCAGAGAAAUGAAAAGUGGAGAAGAAAGAGAAUGGAACCUUAGAGUUGGAGAAGAUUAAUGAGAAUAGAACCAUGGAAUUGGAGAAUGUUAAGAAAACUGUGGGAAAUGAUCAUGAUGAGCCCAAGAUUAACUACAGAGGAUGGAAAGCUAUGCCCUUCAUCAUAGGUGAGCUGGAGUGGGCUGCUUCCUUCCUUCCUUCAUGUUUCUUUUGUUGUUGUUGUCCUUUUUUUUUCCCCAAUUAUUGUUGUGUUUACUGUUGAGUAACAAAUUUCAGGUAAUGAGACUUUUGAGAAGCUGGGAGCCGUUGGCACUUUAGCCAACCUGUUGAUCUAUCUUACUUCUGUGUUCAACAUGAAAAACAUUACAGCUGCAACAAUUAUCAACAUCUUUAAUGGCACCGCCAACUUUGGCACCAUGAUUGGAGCUUAUCUUUGUGACACCUACUUUGGUCGCUACAACACAUUGGGAUUUGCUACGGUUGCUUCGUUUUUGGUACUAGCUUCUGCUCUUGAGCAGCGAGUUUCGGUUAUUAAAUUUUAUAUUGGUUACCAUUUCUAGCUGAGCUAAGAUAUAUUAUUCUACUAACUGAUCCGAAAAUAAUACGUACUUCAUAUAAAAACCUGUCACAAUUUGAAUUCUGUCAACCAUAUGGUAUAUUACAUAUUUAGUUGAUAUUCAUGUGAAUCUAAUUCUUAAUUUUUGGUGAAGGGGUUGCAAGCAAUACAACUAACGGCGGCAAUUCCAACUCUUCAUCCUCCCCACUGUGCAGCAGAAAGUUCAACGUGCAAAGGGCCAACAGCAGGACAAAUGGCAUUUCUGUUAAGCGGGUUUGGACUGAUGAUAAUAGGAGCUGGCGGCGUCCGGCCAUGUAACUUGGCAUUUGGAGCAGACCAAUUCAAUCCUAAUACUGAAUCUGGAAAAAGGGGUAUUAAUAGCUUCUUCAACUGGUACUUCUGCACCUUCACUUUUGCCCAGAUGGUGUCUUUGACCCUCAUUGUCUAUGUGCAAUCCAACGUGAGUUGGGCUAUUGGUUUAGCAAUUCCGGCGUUGCUGAUGUUGAUAGCGUGUGUCGUCUUCUUCAUGGGCACAAAAAUAUAUGUUAGGGUGCC